UACAGAGGAGCCAAGCGUUGUCCGGAAUUAUUGGGCGUAAAGCGCGCGCAGGUGGUUUCUUAAGUCUGAUGUGAAAGCCCACGGCUCAACCGUGGAGGGUCAUUGGAAACUGGGGAACUUGAGUGCAGAAGAGGAAAGUGGAAUUCCAAGUGUAGCGGUGAAAUGCGUAGAGAUUUGGAGGAACACCAGUGGCGAAGGCGACUUUCUGGUCUGUAACUGACACUGAGGCGCGAAAGCGUGGGGAGCGAACAGG
rnacentral:rRNA from 1 species